UACGGAGGGGGCUAGCGUUGUUCGGAAUUACUGGGCGUAAAGCGCACGUAGGCGGACUUUUAAGUCGGGGGUGAAAUCCCAGGGCUCAACCCUGGAACUGCCUUCGAUACUGGAGGUCUGGAGGUCGAGAGAGGCGAGUGGAAUGCCGAGUGUAGAGGUGAAAUUCGUAGAUAGUCGGCGGAACACCAGUGGCGAAGGCGGCUCGCUGGCUCGAUACUGACGCUGAGGUGCGAAAGCGUGGGGAGCAAACAGG
rnacentral:rRNA from 1 species